rnacentral:rRNA from 1 species
CCUACGGGAGGCAGCAGUGAGGAAUUUUCUGCAAUGGGCGCAAGCCUGACAGAGCAAUACCGCGUGAGGGAUGAAGGCCUAUGGGUUGUAAACUUCUUUUCUCAAGGAGGAAGAUCUGACGUUACUUGAGGAAUAAGCAUCGGCUAACCAUGUGCCAGCAGCCGCGGUAAU